rnacentral:rRNA from 1 species
AGAGUAGCCGCGGGAAUACGUAGGGUGCAAGCGUUAAUCGGAAUUACUGGGCGUAAAGCGUGCGCAGGCGGUUCGGAAAGAAAGGUGUGAAAUCCCAGGGCUUAACCUUGGAACUGCACUUUUAACUACCGGGCUAGAGUGUGUCAGAGGGAGGUGGAAUUCCGCGUGUAGCAGUGAAAUGCGUAGAGAUGCGGAGGAACACCGAUGGCGAAGGCAGCCUCCUGGGACAACACUGACGCUCAUGCACGAAAGCGUGGGGAGCAAACAGGAUUAGAUACCCCUGUAGUCCCUGUCUCUUAUACA